rnacentral:tRNA from 1 species
GUAGUGCUAAAAAUGUAGUGUUUAUAAUCCUUAUACGUUUUUCGCCCACUGCUUCACACGCAGGAGGUCCACGGUUCGAGUCCGUGCGUGUCCACCA